GUCCAAUUAGUUUGUCUACAUCCAAGUAAUUUGUCUUUUGUAUCACUAGUUGUCACAAAGAGGCUGUGAUUUAGACCCCCCUAAAUCCAAUGUGGCUGGUGCAUUCUACUCCAAUUUAAGUAAGCUUGUUAGAUUAAACUUUGCAGAUAGAUAGAAAUUUAUACCCUGUGUAAUUAAAAUAUUUCACAGAAUAAAAGAGGGAAAGAUACCAAAGGG
rnacentral:lncRNA from 1 species